rnacentral:rRNA from 1 species
UGGGGAAUAUUGCACAAUGGGCGCAAGCCUGAUGCAGCAACGCCGCGUGAGGGAUGACGGCCUUCGGGUUGUAAACCUCUUUUAGCAGGGAAGAAGCGAAAGUGACGGUACCUGCAGAAAAAGCACCGGCUAACUACGUGCCAGCAGCCGCGGUAAUACGUAGGGUGCAAGCGUUGUCCGGAAUUAUUGGGCGUAAAGAGCUCGUAGACGGUCUGUCGCGUCUGCUGUGAAAUCCCCGAGGCUCAACCUCGGGCCUGCAGUGGGUACGGGCAGACUAGAGUGCGGUAGGGGAGAAUGGAACUCCUGGUGUAGCGGUGGAAUGCGCAGAUAUCAGGAAGAACACCGAUGGCGAAGGCAGUUCUCUGGGCCGUAACUGACGCUGAGGAGCGAAAGCGUGGGGAGCGAACAGGAUUAGAUACCCUGGUAGUCCACGCCGUAAACGUUGGGCGCUAGAUGUGGGGACCAUUCCACGGUUUCCGUGUCGCAGCUAACGCAUUAAGCGCCCCGCCUGGGGAGUACGGCCGCAAGGCUAAAACUCAAAAUGAAUUGACGGGGUC